AAAUGCGAUAAGUUAUGUGAAUUGCAGAAUUCAGUGAAUCAUCGAAUCUUUGAACGCACAUUGCGCCCCUUGGUAUUCCGAGGGGCAUGCCUGUUCGAGCGUCAUUACACCACUCAAGCUAUGCUUGGUAUUGGGUGCCGUCCUUAGUUGGGCGCGCCUUAAAGACCUCGGCGAGGCCUCACCGGCUUUAGGCGUAGUAGAAUUUAUUCGAACGUCUGUCAAAGGAGAGGACUUCUGCCGACUGAAACCUUUUAUUUUUCUAGGUUGACCUCGGAUCAGGUAGGGAUACCCGCUGAACUUAAGC
rnacentral:misc_RNA from 1 species